CAGUAGAACGCACAGUUUAUACCGUAGCUUGCUACAUCAUAGACUGUGAGUUGCGAACGGGUGAGUAACGCGUAGGUAACCUGCCUGGUAGCGGGGGAUAACUAUUGGAAACGAUAGCUAAUACCGCAUAAGAAUAGCUAUUGCAUGAUAUCUAUUUAAAAGGGGCAACUGCUCCACUACCAGAUGGACCUGCGUUGUAUUAGCUAGUAGGUAGGGUAAAGGCCUACCUAGGCGACGAUACAUAGCCGACCUGAGAGGGUGAUCGGCCACACUGGGACUGAGACACGGCCCAGACUCCUACGGGAGGCAGCAGUAGGGAAUCUUCGGCAAUGGGGGGAACCCUGACCGAGCAACGCCGCGUGAGUGAAGAAGGUUUUCGGAUCGUAAAGCUCUGUUGUUAAGGAAGAACGGGUGUGAGAGUGGAAAGCUCACACAGUGACGGUACUUAACCAGAAAGGGACGGCUAACUACGUGCCAGCAGCCGCGGUAAUACGUAGGUCCCGAGCGUUGUCCGGAUUUAUUGGGCGUAAAGCGAGCGCAGGCGGUUAGAUAAGUCUGAAGUUAAAGGCUGUGGCUUAACCAUAGUACGCUUUGGAAACUGUUUAACUUGAGUGCAGAAGGGGAGAGUGGAAUUCCAUGUGUAGCGGUGAAAUGCGUAGAUAUAUGGAGGAACACCGGUGGCGAAAGCGGCUCUCUGGUCUGUAACUGACGCUGAGGCUCGAAAGCGUGGGGGAGCGAACAGGAUUAGAUACCCUGGUAGUCCACGCCGUAAACGAUGAGUGCUAGGUGUUAGGUCCUUUCCGGGACUUAGUGCCGCAGCUAACGCAUUAAGCACUCCGCCUGGGGAGU
rnacentral:rRNA from 1 species